rnacentral:rRNA from 1 species
AUUGAACGCUGGCGGGAGGCUUAACACAUGCAAGUCGAACGAGUGGCGGACGGGUGAGUAAUGUAUGGGAAAUUGCCUGAUGGCGGGGGAUAACUACUGGAAACGGUGGCUAAUACCGCAUACCAUCAGAUGUGCCCAGUUGGGAUUAGCUGGUGGGUGGGGUAACGGCUCACCAAGGCGACGAUCCCUAGCUGGUCUGAGAGGAUGACCAGCCACACUGGAACUGAGACACGGUCCAGACUCCUACGGGAGGCAGCAGUGGGGAAUAUUGGACAAUGGGCGCAAGCCUGAUACAGCUAUGCCGCGUGUAUGAAGAAGGCCUUCGGGUUGUAAAGUACUUUCGGCAGGGAGGCGUUACCCGCAGAAGAAGCACCGGCUAACUCCGUGCCAGCAGCCGCGGUAAUAC